ensembl:lncRNA
GCUGUGUGUCUGAGCACUGCCGUCCAUCACCAGGCAGGGCUCUGGGAUCGAAGCAAAGCAACCCAGGUUCUGCAGGGUGGGGGGCACAGCGUGGGCUGACAGCUCGGGGUGAGCUGUCUGAAGUGCUUUGUCCUUAAAGCACACAUUUAAGGGCAGACCUCCUGCUGCUGGGGAUGGGGCCAAGCCCCUGGCUGCCACCCAGCUCCCUCUGGCCAGCGCCUGUUCUGGCUCCUUAUGCCGCAUUUUCACCCAGGGUAGUGCCAAACCACUCCUUCACGAUGGGGACAGCACAGCCUGGGAGAGCCUCUGUUCCAACUUGGGGGGGAGAGCGGGGGGAUCAGCCGGGCUGGGGGGGGGCAUGGGAGUGAUGCCAGCAUGGGUCAGUGCCACUUGUCAUCGCCUCGCUGCCAGCAAGCUUUGUGCCGGGGUGGUCAGAGCCCGAGCUGUGACGUUAGAGCCCAACUCCCUCCUAUCUGGGCAUGAAGCAGAGCAAAGCCCUGCGGGAGGAGAGGAGCUGCAGCUGCUCAGGCUUGGGAUGGAUCCAGGUCCCCACACGAACCCCAGCCUCGGCACCCCAUUGCAUCCCUAUGGGAGCAGCAGCAUCCAUCCCAUCCCACGCAGCCCCCCAGACCAGUGCCAGCCCGGGGUCCCAGCACAGUGCCGGUCCCACACUGGGGUGCACGGAGCCCACAGCAGAACGCCACUGCUCUGCAGCACAGCGCUGCAUCCUCAGCCGCUCACACGCAGCUAUCGACAGCGAUUUCACACUGCUUGCCUUCCUAAUUGUCUCCCUGAUCUGUUUUCUAAUCUGAGUUGUCUUAACACAAACAAUUACAGCCGAGUAACUGAUUAAUCAUUCAAAUGAAUUUAAAAUGGAGUGUUUUAAUAUAUUUAGAUAAUGCACAUGUGCAACAGGAAAAAAAAAAGAGCGAUGCUUAUCUGCAAUUGUCACUUAGAAUGGAUGAGUUCCAAUUAUUUGUGUGGGAGAAAACAGAGGUAUAAAGAUCAGAAUCCAAAUUAUUGUGUAAACUGUUGACAUAUUCUGAGCACUGUUAUUUAAAUGCCACUAAAUAGAUGUUUAAAUGAGGAUGAAUAAUUGCAUCAAUAAUUCAUUUGCAGCUUAGAAGGAAGCUUUGGCUGAUGUGGGAUGGUGGGAAGGGGCAGCGUGGCUCCGGAGCUUUUUGCAUUGAGGCAGAGGGAGCUUCUCCAAAAGCCUUGCUCUUUGCAGGCCCAAAGGCUUGCAUGGAAUCCCAACCUGCCCCAAAGCAGUGGCAUAGACCCAAACUCCCGUAUCCAGAUGCACAGCAGCUCAUGCCCGCUGCCAUGCUGCGACUGAGCCAGCAGAAAACCCCAGGGGCGAUGCUUCCCUUACCUGCAAAUUGGUUUCUAAUCUGGGUGCCUUUAAAAACGCAGCCAUUGGAAAGAAAAGCAAGGCCACUCGUGCUUAUAGCACAGUUAUCCAACGGGGUGAGGGAGUGAGGUUUGCUAAGCACUGGUUCUUUAAAUAACACACCCUCUCGCAGUGGUAUGUGGCAAGGAGUAACCCAACACAGCCUCCUGCAACGAGAUACAGCAUCAGACAUUUAAAAGGAAUAGCUUUGAUGCCGGCUGUCAGCAAAAAAUGCAGGCAGAAAACGCGUGCCUUCAGCUGCUGCCACGCACAGAGCAGCAAGAGCCCCAUCCCAACGUCCUGCUGAGCACAGAGGGCCUCUUAAUGGGCGAAGAGGAGGUGAAACGCACAGCAGAGCGGUGGGGAUCUCCCCAGCUUGGAGGUUCCCAGGACCAUGUUGUGCUGUGCACACAGCAGAUGUGAGGCAUUACCCACACAGCACCAGCUGAGCCACAAAGACCAAGGAGGAUGAACAUGGCUUUCCAGCAUCACGAGGCCACCAGCACCUGCGCUGCCCCAGCCAAGCCUGAAAUGCAAAGGGAAAACAAUGCAAAUGGCAAAUACUCCACGGAUUCUGCAGCUUGCUUUGAGUGGCAAUAAUGCCAUCUAACAAAUAAAUUCAUUAACAGCACAGAGUCUGUCCCAGCACCUUGGGUCUGCGUUUGCCAUGCGGGCUCUUGGAUGGCUCCAUGAGCAGUGCAGACAGCUGCGCCCUCAGAGAUGUCGUGGAAACAAAGGCAGCAAAAUAAGAUUUGGAAUUUGCUUUGAAAUUCUGCCUUGGAUCUUCAGGGAAAAAAAAAAAAAAAAAAAAAAAAAGGAAAGAAAGAAAGAAAAAAACCAACAGAAAAACAAAACAGAUGUGUGGUGUUUUUUAUUCUUUUUCUCAUGGAGGCGAGCUGCCCCCCGCUCACUAAAGCAGGUGAAGGCAGCAGAGCCCAGAGCUUGGUGAGCCCCUGGUUCCCAGUGCUAAGAGCUCAGUGCUGUGUGGGUAUGACAGAGAGAUCUGAGGAUCCCAAGGCUUCUUGCUCACAUCGCCACGCACUUCAGAAAGAGAUCUGAGCAAUAACACAACAACAACAUGUGCAACUACUUAGAAGUCAAUUAAUAUCAGAGGAAGGACCCUUGUUGAAUCCAGCAGAAAGAAUGAUGGUUACAUUUCCGGAAUAAUGGCUGAAAUUUGCCAUUGUGUGUCAUCAGGAAUCAUUUAAAAUAGUUUUGAUCUCAGCUCUUUCUGUCGGGGCUCUAAUGAAUUAACAGAUGACAGAUUUCCGUAAUGAAAGGCUGUGUUUUAAAGACAAGCCGACAUUGUUUUCCCUGUACUACUCAUAUAAUUUGGGAUGUUUAAAAAUAAUUACAGCACAAGAUGAAUACCUUACAAGGUUUCAGAUAUUUCACACAUGCUGAGCCUUCCUCCUGCACAGGUUUGAGGGGCUGCACCCAAUCAACAUCCAAGUUCCAACACCCAGCAUCUAACAUCCAACUUCUGACAUUCAACUUCCAACACUCAAUUUCCAACACCCAACUUCCAAUAUCCAAUAUCCAACAUCUGACUUCCAACACCCAGCUUCCAAUAUCCGACACCUGACUUCCAACAUCCAACUACCAAUACCCAACACCUGAAUUCCAACACCCAGCUUCCAACAUCCAACUACCAAUACCCAACACCUGACUUCCAACACCCAACUUCCAACAUCCAACUUUCAACACCCAGCAUCCAAUAUCCAACAUCUGACUUCCGACAUCUGACUACCAACAUCCAACAUCUGAUUUCCAACACCCAACAUCCAGCUGACAUCCUCACAGCCCAAGUACCACCAUCCAGAGCUCCAGCAAGAAAGAGUCCCUGCUGCCCCACAGCCCUACAAGCCCUAAAAGCCCCCACAGAGCCCACGAGGUGGGUGCAAAAGGCAACGACCGGUGCAGCGAUGUCCUCCGCAGCGCUCUCCUCAUUAGCUCGGUGCUGGAUCACAUUUUUGUGCAGUGCAAAGGGACCACAAAGGCAUAUUAUAUUCAAUGUUAAGUAAACAAACUUUUGAAACGGACUUUUAUUGAUUCCAUACGGCCAUCUGGCUUGGAGGAAAAAGCCCCCUCCCUCCUCCCCCUCCCUGUGAAAAUAUUCGAAGGCUGGGGGCUGGCAGCGGCUCAGCGUGGCUGCAAACCACCUAGUUUCCUCUGCGGUUAACAACACAGGAAAACGUCGAACUCUCAGAUAAAUGUUGGAGGCUUAUUUGGUUCACCCAUCUGGUAGCCAGCCUGUUCUGCGAAAAUUAAAGAUAUACAUAUGCAAAUAUUCACAGUCUGCU